rnacentral:rRNA from 1 species
AGGACGAACGCUGGCGGCGUGCUUAACACAUGCAAGUCGAGCGGAAAGGCCCUUCGGGGUUACUCGAGCGGCGAACGGGUGAGUAACACGUGAGCAACCUGCCCUCAGCUCUGGGAUAGCUCCCGGAAACGGGAUUAAUACCGGAUACGACCCCGACCGACAUCGGUCAGGGUGAAAAGUUUUUCGGCUGAGGAUGGACUCGCGGCCUAUCAGCUAGUUGGUGGGGUAACGGCCCACCAAGGCGACGACGGGUAG